UACGUAGGGGGCGAGCGUUGUCCGGAUUUAUUGGGCGUAACGAGCUCGUAGGCGGCUUGGCAAGUCGGGUGUGAAACCUCCAGGCUCAACCUGGAGACGCCACUCGAUACUGCCAUGGCUAGAGUCCGGUAGGGGACCACGGAAUUCCUGGUGUAGCGGUGAAAUGCGCAGAUAUCAGGAGGAACACCGGUGGCGAAGGCGGGUCUCUGGGCCGAUACUGACGCUGAGGAGCGAAAGCGUGGGGAGCGAACAGG
rnacentral:rRNA from 1 species